rnacentral:lncRNA from 1 species
AUUGAAAAAAAAUAAUAAUAAUAAAAGUACUAAACUCACGCUAAUAUGUCAAACAUAAAGAAAUUUAAAACAUCUAAAAAUUACAAGUUGAAUAUGUUCAAAAGUAACAUAAUUAGUUAUUGAAGAAAAGAAACAAUCAUAAUAAAGAGAGCCAAAAUUUGCCAAGGACUGAAUUGCAAAAAUUGAAAACUUUUGGGGGACAAAAAUUAUAUUUUCCAAAGUUCAGGGGUCAAAAUUAAAUGAAAGAUAAAAUUCAGGGACCAAAGUGAAAUUAGUAUAAGGACCGAGUUGAAAAUAAUUUAAAGUGUUAUGGGCCGUAGUAAAACUACUCCAAAGAUCAGGGGCCAAAGUGCAAAAUUCAGUUUCUGAUUUGGGAGAAGAAAGGCCAUCGGGCCGUUAUUUUUAUUUAUUUGGGCCGGAUACUACCUAAGCCCAACCAAAACCCAAAAGAAACGAGCAGGCCAGCCCGUAUUUUUAUCCCUCAAACCCAACCAAAAAAAACAUGGGCUCCCACCUUCUAGCCAAACCAAAAAAUAAGAAACAAGCCCACUAAAAAAAAAAA